CUUCACCAAAUGCUAAAUCUGCCACCACCUUGAUUUUGGACUUCCCAGCCUCUGGAAUGAUGGAGAAACUGGAGCCUCAGAGAAGUCAGGGGUGACAUAAAAUGAG